AGCGGUACGCGAGCUGGGUUCAGAACGUCGUGAGACAGUUCGGUCCCUAUCCGUCGUGGGCGUAGGAAAUUUGAGAGGAGCUGUCCUUAGUACGAGAGGACCGGGAUGGACAUACCUCUGGUGUACCAGUUGUCGUGCCAACGGCAUAGCUGGGUAGCUAUGUAUGGACGGGAUAAGUGCUGAAAGCAUCUAAGCAUGAAGCCCCCCUCAAGAUGAGAUUUCCCAACUUCGGUUAUAAGAUCCCUCGAAGAUGACGAGGUUAAUAGGUUCGAGGUGGAAGCGUGGUGACACGUGGAGCUGACGAAUACUAAUCGAUCGAAGACUUAAUCAAUUUUUAAA
rnacentral:rRNA from 1 species